rnacentral:rRNA from 1 species
UACGUAGGGUGCAAGCGUUAAUCGGAAUUACUGGGCGUAAAGCGUGCGCAGGCGGCUUUGCAAGACAGAUGUGAAAUCCCCGGGCUUAACCUGGGAACUGCAUUUGUGACUGCAUGGCUGGAGUGCGGCAGAGGGGGAUGGAAUUCCGCGUGUAGCAGUGAAAUGCGUAGAUAUUGUGAGGAACACUAGUGGCGAAGGCGAGACUCUGGACAGUUCCUGACGCUGAGGCACGAAGGCCAGGGGAGCAAACGGG